rnacentral:rRNA from 1 species
UACGUAGGUCGCAAGCGUUGUCCGGAUUUACUGGGCGUAAAGAGCGCGCAGGCGGCUGGUCAAGUCCGAUGUGAAAUCUCCCGGCUCAACUGGGAAACUGCAUCGGAAACUGAUCGGCUUGAAGAUGGGAGAGGGUAGUGGAAUUCCCGGUGUAGUGGUGAAAUGCGUAGAUAUCGGGAGGAACACCAGUGGCGAAGGCGGUUACCUGGACAGUUACUGACGCUCAGGCACGAAAGCAUGGGGAGCAAAAGGG